GAGUAAUGCCUAGGAAUCUGCCUGGUAGUGGGGGAUAACGUUCGGAAACGGACGCUAAUACCGCAUACGUCCUACGGGAGAAAGCAGGGGACCUUCGGGCCUUGCGCUAUCAGAUGAGCCUAGGUCGGAUUAGCUAGUUGGUGGGGUAAUGGCUCACCAAGGCGACGAUCCGUAACUGGUCUGAGAGGAUGAUCAGUCACACUGGAACUGAGACACGGUCCAGACUCCUACGGGAGGCAGCAGUGGGGAAUAUUGGACAAUGGGCGAAAGCCUGAUCCAGCCAUGCCGCGUGUGUGAAGAAGGUCUUCGGAUUGUAAAGCACUUUAAGUUGGGAGGAAGGGCAGUAAAUUAAUACUUUGCUGUUUUGACGUUACCGACAGAAUAAGCACCGGCUAACUCUGUGCCAGCAGCCGCGGUAAUACAGAGGGUGCAAGCGUUAAUCGGAAUUACUGGGCGUAAAGCGCGCGUAGGUGGUUCGUUAAGUUGGAUGUGAAAUCCCCGGGCUCAACCUGGGAACUGCAUUCAAAACUGACGAGCUAGAGUAUGGUAGAGGGUGGUGGAAUUUCCUGUGUAGCGGUGAAAUGCGUAGAUAUAGGAAGGAACACCAGUGGCGAAGGCGACCACCUGGACUGAUACUGACACUGAGGUGCGAAAGCGUGGGGAGCAAACAGGAUUAGAUACCC
rnacentral:rRNA from 1 species